AUUGAAAAUUUUCAAAAGAAAAAAAAAAGGAAGGAAGAGAGAAAAGGAAAUUGGCCCUCCUUCACGAAAAAGUUGAGAAGAGUGGUCUUUGAUGAAUCAGGCUUGGCCUAGCCCUUGCAGAUGGGUGAGACUUCCACAGCUAACUAUAUGGAACAAGGGUGGAACAAGGCCAGUCAGCAGCAUCUAUUCAAAAGGAGGGAUUCCGGGAACAAAUGAAGACAAAGACAGUUUGCACAGUCGGAAGACAGGAAGUGCACUGUGCCAGGUGCCAGAUUUAUAACCACAAAAACAGAGAGGCAGAAUGUCUUCAUUUCCAGUGGACAAGACAGACGAUGUGUAAGUAAACACAUAAAUAAACAGGAUAAUCAGAUAAUGCAGUAAGUGCCGGGAAGGAAAUACAUGGUGAUACGACAGGCCUUUUUCCUUUAUUCAGUUCUGUUGGCAAUACUCUGCACAUAGCAAGUGCUCAGUUAGUUACGUCUUAUUAAACAUGCGGUAACACAAAACUGCCUGACACUUCAGAAUAGAAGAUCCAAU
rnacentral:lncRNA from 1 species